GAUGAACGCUGGCGGCGUGCCUAAUACAUGCAAGUCGAGCGAACAGACGAGGAUCUUGCUCCUCUGACGUUAGCGGCGGACGGGUGAGUAACACGUGGAUAACCUACCUAUAAGACUGGGAUAACUUCGGGAAACCGGAGCUAAUACCGGAUAAUAUAUUGAACCGCAUGGUUCAAUAGUGAAAGACGGUUUUGCUGGCACUUAUAGAUGGAUCCGCGCCGCAUUAGCUAGUUGGUAAGGUAACGGCUUACCAAGGCAACGAUGCGUAGCCGACCUGAGAGGGUGAUCGGCCACACUGGAACUGAGACACGGUCCAGACUCCUACGGGAGGCAGCAGUAGGGAAUCUUCCGCAAUGGGCGAAAGCCUGACGGAGCAACGCCGCGUGAGUGAUGAAGGUCUUCGGAUCGUAAAACUCUGUUAUUAGGGAAGAAUAAAUGUGUAAGUAACUAUGCACGUCUUGACGGUACCUAAUCAGAAAGCCACGGCUAACUACGUG
rnacentral:rRNA from 1 species